rnacentral:rRNA from 1 species
AGUGAACGCUGGCGGUAGGCCUAACACAUGCAAGUCGAACGGCAGCACAGUAAGAGCUUGCUCUUACGGGUGGCGAGUGGCGGACGGGUGAGGCAUACAUCGGAAUCUACUUUUUCGUGGGGGAUAACGUGGAGAAACUUACGCUAAUACCGCAUACGACCUACGGGUUGAAGCAGAGGAUCUUCGGACCUUGCGCGAUUGAAUGAGCCGAUGUCGGAUUAGCUAGUUGGCGGGGUAAAGGCCCACCAAGGCGACGAUCCGUAGCUGGUCUGAGAGGAUGAUCAGCCACACUGGAACUGAGACACGGUCCAGACUCCUACGGGAGGCAGCAGUGGGGAAUAUUGGACAAUGGGCGCAAGCCUGAUCCAGCCGUACCGCGUGGGUGAAGAAGGCCUUCGGGUUGUAAAGCCCUUUUGUUGGGAAAGAAAAGCAGCAGGUUAAUACCCCGCUGUUCUGACGGUACCCAAAGAAUAAGCACCGGCUAACUUCGUG